GUGAAUCAUCGAAUUUUUGAACGCAUAUUGCACUCUCUGGUAUUCCGGAGCGUGUGUCUGGUUGAGGGUAAUUAAAAAGAAUCUUUAACCAAUUUUUUGGGUCAAAGGAUAUGAGUUUUCCGCGUUUAUAGCGGUAGCUUGAAAUACAUGGUCAAGUCUCAUUUUCGUCGCGACGCGUAAUAAUAUUAUUUCGCGAAAUUAUCAUUUUGUGAUAAUGAAGUUUUGAUGAAUAGA
rnacentral:misc_RNA from 1 species